GGAGGCGUCGCACGAAUGGUAGUGCAGCGGUGUGCUAAGCCGCCGGGCCUCGCGGCCCCUGUGCGUUCGACUCGCACCGCCUCCG
rnacentral:tRNA from 1 species